AUACGGAGGGAGCUAGCGUUGUUCGGAAUUACUGGGCGUAAAGCGCACGUAGGCGGCAUUGCAAGUUGGGGGUGAAAUCCCGGAGCUUAACUCCGGAACUGCCUCCAAAACUACAAAGCUAGAGGAUGUGAGAGGAUAGUGGAAUUCCGAGUGUAGAGGUGAAAUUCGUAGAUAUUCGGAAGAACACCAGUGGCGAAGGCGACUGUCUGGCACAUUUCUGACGCUGAGGUGCGAAAGCGUGGGGAGCAAACAGGAUUAGAUACCCCGGUAGUCC
rnacentral:rRNA from 1 species